rnacentral:rRNA from 1 species
UACGUAGGGGGCUAGCGUUGUCCGGAAUCAUUGGGCGUAAAGCGCGUGUAGGCGGCCCGGUAAGUCCGCUGUGAAAGUCGGGGGCUCAACCCUCGGAUGCCGGUGGAUACUGUCGGGCUAGAGUGCGGAAGAGGCGAGUGGAAUUCCUGGUGUAGCGGUGAAAUGCGCAGAUAUCAGGAAGAACACCAAUGGCGAAGGCAGCUCGCUGGGACGUUACUGACGCUGGAGACGCGAAAGCCGUGGGGAGCGAACAGG